rnacentral:rRNA from 1 species
AGCGAACGCUGGCGGCAGGCCUAACACAUGCAAGUCGAACGAACUCUUCGGAGUUAGUGGCGGACGGGUGAGUAACACGUGGGAACGUGCCCUUUGGUACGGAAUAACUCAGGGAAACUUGAGCUAAUACCGUAUGUGCCCUUCAGGGGAAAGAUUUAUCGCCAUUGGAGCGGCCCGCGUCUGAUUAGCUAGUUGGUGAGGUAAAGGCUCACCAAGGCUACGAUCAGUAGCUGGUCUGAGAGGAUGAUCAGCCACAUUGGGACUGAGACACGGCCCAAACUCCUCCGGAGGCCGGCGGUGGGAAUUCUUCCGCAUUGGGCGAAGGCCUGACCCAGCCUGGCGCCGUGAAUGAUGAAGGCCUUAGGUUUGUAAAAUUUUUUCCCCGGGAACGUUAUGACGGUACCCGGAGAAGAAGCCCCGGCUAACUUCGUG